AAAAGGUGAAAGAAGUAAUGAUAAAAUGCUUAUAAUGUAACAUAAUUUUAAUUUCUUCAUUUCUUUCUUCAGUUUAUCUCAUUUUACAUUGAAAAUUAGUUAUCCACGAAAAUCGUUUAAGGAAAACAGUUAAAAAAAUCUGGUUUUGAAGGCGAGUGACGUAAUAUGGAAAAACUGAAAAAAAAACGGUAGUCCCGAUCAUUAUAUAUAAAAAAAAAUCGUUAUAUUAAAACACUACUCAUGGAACUAUACCGAAAAAAUACCAACCUGGUCUGUAUACUGCAAGUAGUAUUGAAUGUUAAGUGUUCAAUAUAAAAAGGAUUCUUUUUAGUUUUUUUUUUAUAAACGAAUGGACUAUAGCAAGAGUUGUGACAUAUGUCUAAGAAACUUAAACAACUAUGUAUUGCUGAUUUAGGAUGCGGGGGUAAACGAGGAGGAUACAGGAACUUAUCGCAAUGUUAUAUAAAAAGUACAUACUUUAUGAUUAACGAGUAGCAAUUAUGUAUUUAUCAAAUAAACAUAAGAACCGUA